CUCGCCUCAUCCCUCUCGCCUCUCUCGACUCAUCCAUUCCGUUCACUCUCAUCUCUCUCUCACCGGUAUCUCUUCAGUCUCGCCUCUUGCUAUCUCUUCAGUCUCGCCUCUCUCACCUGUCUGUUGAAGCAGUAUGAAGAACGACUGAGGAACACAAGAUUAAAGCCAAGAUUCUGUUAUUGUGGAAGAAUAGCUUCCAUGCAUAUUGUACGAACCAAUGAGAAUGGAAAUGAAGGACGUGUGUUUUUUGUUUGCCCAACAAAAUAUACUACGAACGAACACUGCAAUUACUUCAGGUUCGCAGAUGAUGAUGACGAUGAUGUUACCUCCACAGAUAUAAGAACAGAAGAAAUUAAUGAUCUAAGGAGAAGGCUUGGUGAGCAUGAUAGAAGACUUGAAAGGAUAGAGAAGAUUUUCAAGGCAAUGACUUAUGUCAUUUAUUUUGUGUAUUUUUUUACUUUAUCAUGUAAAUGAAUGUAAUGGACAUGUUGAAUGGAUGUAAUGGACAUGUUGUAGUGCUUGAAUGGAUGCAAUGGACAUAUUUUGUGUAUUCUAUUAUGUAAUUUGAAUGUAGUGUUUGCAUGGAUCUGUUUGAUAAAUCUUAAACAGAUUGAAC